GGCGUGUUGUCGCGAUGUCACAUUAUCGCUCGUUUUUGGGGGCGCAUGCGCAAUGCGCCCCCAAUGGAAUAACGACAAAUUCAGAUUUACUAUGGUUUGAACACAAUUAGUCAGCUACCUACGCUAAGCAAAAAAUAGUUCCAAAACUUCGCAGUAACUCCCAAAAUCAUAGUUCCCUAUCUAUUUUAAAAUUAACUGGCCAAUUACGUACUAAAUUUUGCAAUCGUCUUUUAAAAUUGUAUGUAUAUUUUUGCUUUACGCGAUUUUAAUAUUACUACGCCAGCGGUCGAUCAUAGCCAAAGUACUUGCAUAAAUAUAGUACAAAUUACAUGUAGUCACAAGUUAAUUAAGUGUCAUAGAACUCAAAAAUUUAGCAAGUAAUGGAAUACGGAUUUCAGAUCAGCUAAGUUAAAAGCUUAUAGGGCCUAAUGCUUCAUUUAUAAGUGUAAAUUUAAGAAAAACAUUGCAUGCGUAUGAAUACGAACUAUUUUCGCCCUUGUGCCAUAUAUGUCAUUUUCCCGCAAUCGCCAUUGUUUACAAGUUCAUCCGUGAAAGAUUGAGAAGUUUUGCUGUUAAUAUAGAAGUUCCACGUGUUAAAACGAGUUGUGUGUGAUUAAAGGCUUGUUUGUUAGAUUUCAAUUGUGGUACAGUUGGUUGUUUGCUGAGAAGCUGUGAAACAUAAUUAUACAGGCCGUUAAGUGGUACCAAAAAGAUGGUAAAUUGGUAGUGUUCAGUUCCGGGCAAACAUUUUCUUCAAGAGGUUUUUGUCAGAUUGAUGAGUGUGAAAUUAAGAGGACUCAUUUUGAGAAUGCAUCAAGAGAGAUAAAGUCUAAAAUGUGAUACUGUCAAUGUGACUAACCUUGAAGUAAACAGAUGACACAAUGUUUUUUCAAUGUCAUGGGCAUAUAAUGAAGAGAAAACAGAGAUGCUUGUUUGACAGAUACAGUAAUACUAAUAGUAGGAGUUAUGAGGAAGAUUGCAGUGAUAACUAUAUUGAGGCACCACUUCAUCACCAAGAACAUGAGAUGACUUAUCAAUGUUUUCAAUGUGUUUGAACACCCACUUUAAAUAAUACAGCUCAGAGUGAAUUUUUCAAAAUAAUUAAUUCUGUUUUCAAAGUUUUUUAUUUAGAUGUUAGUUGAUCUUGUCAAGUACUUUAUUUUUUUUAGGGAUGGCAACAAAUACUAAAAUCAAUGCUCGAGUACUCGGUCAUUUUUCAGAUCGAGUAUUCGGUUACUCGGAUGAUUUCCAAUGAUCUUUUAAAUUUUUAACACACAAUAUCAACACCGUCUGCAUGCUAUCUUCAUUUUCUAUUUUAAUUCAUAGAAUUAGUAGCUAUAAAUAGGAUUGCAAGAAAUACAUAUAAUAAAUAUAAACAUAAGAAAUGUCAAUGACAGCAUUUAUUAUAUACCUAUAAAUUUUCUUCCUAAAACACAGGAUAAUCUUGAAGCGCAAAUAGGUUUCAACGGUUAGA